UCUUCUCUAGCUUAAUUUAGAGCAUUAGUUUGAAGAGCUGAGGGUACUUUUGUGGGGGGAU
rnacentral:tRNA from 1 species